AAUAUUAUGUUAUAAAUAGAUGCUUAGGGGCAAUAUAGUACAUUCAUUUUUCUGUAUAAAUUACUUCAUUCUUCUUGUAUAAUAGCCUACUGUACAUAAUGCAUUUACAUUACAUUGAAUAGAAUUACUCAACAUUGUCUUCAUCUUCUUUGAUGCUUUGCUUCUCUUUUAUUCGAACAACCAGACCUUCAUCAACUCUUACAUGACAUCAGAGCGUCCCACUCCCGAUUUUACUGGCCUUAGUAAACCAACCAACCCUUACCGAUUAGAAACCUCCAAUAACCCUAGCACUCUGCUCAUCACUGACCUCCUUACAACCGAGAAUUACUCUACGUGGUCCAAAUCAAUUCAAUGUGCUCUUUGCGCCAAGAAUAAACUUAGUUUUCUCAGUGGAAGCAUCUUCAAACCUCCUACUAUCACUGACCCUCUUUUUGCCCUUUAGGAACGAUGCAAUUAUAUGCUUGUGUCCUGGCUUCAAAACUCAAUAAGCAUGCCCCUUCGUCCCUCCAUCGCAUUUGGUGAUGAUGCUUGUGAGUUAUGGCUUGAAUUGCAGGAACGAUUCUCCCCUCAAAAUGGCCCUUGGAUCUAUGAGCUGAAGAAUACUCUUGUAAAUUUGUCUCAAGAAAAUGAUACAGUUAACAUCUAUUAUGGGCAUUUCUCAUUGGACAACGAUUGGGAAGGGUAGCAUGAUACAUGAUCUCUACCAUUUACACGCAGACAAUGUCUCACCUCAAGCUUUGGUUCAUAUCUUAUCUCAGAAUUUUCACCUUCAAAAUUUUAUUUCAGCCUCUGUACAACCUCUCAACAGUUCUCAUGAUUUAUGGCACUGUCGAUUAGGUCAUCCCUCCCAUUCUCGCAUUUUACUCAUACAAGAUCCUCUUGUAAUUACUCAUAUGAAUAUUAAUGAAAAUUUACCUUAUCUUCUUUA